ACUUAACUCCAGGUUGCUCCGGGGGGAUUAUCCCUGUAAUAAGUGCUCUGUAUAAUACAUUGGUACUCAGAAGGUUGCUGGUUUGAUCCCCACAGUCACCACCAUUGUGUCCUUGAGUAAGACACUUAACUCCAGGUUGCUCCGGGGGGAUUGUCCCUGUAAUAAGUGCACUGUAUAAUACAUUGGUACUCAGAAGGUUGCUGGUUUGAUCCCCACAGUCACCACCAUUGUGUCCUUGAGUAAGACACUUAACUCCAGGUUGCUCCGGGGGGAUUGUCCCUGUAAUAAGUGCACUGUAUAAUACAUUGGUACUCAGAAGGUUGCUGGUUUG